GAGCCAGCCGUUGGGGUAGGUGAGGGAGGGACCGGGAGCCGGGGACCCUGUCUCUGACCACUCUUCUCCGCGACGCGGCUCCA
ensembl:miRNA mdo-mir-7311 mdo-mir-7311